ensembl:lncRNA
CUUUGAGCGACCGAGCUAGACGAGAAAACGGCAGCCAGACGAGCGACCAACACAGCGACCAAUGCGACCUACGUCGCGACCAAUGCGACCUAGGUCGCGACGCACGUCGUUGGCCACUCGAAGAGCUCGGCCCUACUGGAGCGGUGCUCGAAAAGGAAAACACCGACCUUUAAUCAUGGACUGAAGACGCCGAGAACCGAAGCAGACGCUCCAAUCUACGAUUCGUCGGCAUACCCGAGAGGGCCGAGGCCGGGGAUGUCCUCGGCUUCAUAAGUCAUCUGAUUCCAAAACUUCUAGGUGAAGCAAAUUUCUCCGUUCCUCCUGUGAUAGAGCGCUGUCAUCGCACUGGUAUCCUGGACAACGUCAAAGCCAAGGGUCCAAGGCCGAUCUUGGUAAAGUUCCAGUGCUUUCAAGACAAGCUGAAGAUAAUGAAACUGGCCAGGGACAAGAGGGACCCCCUUCAGUACAAAGCGAGGGCUGUGAACCAAGGGGGCUCUUUGAAGGAUGUUCAAAUCUUUAUCUACCCGGACUUCUCUGCUGGUGUAGUCCAGUCCAGACGCCGAGAGUUUGAUGCAGUGAAGAAAAAGCUCCGUGAUAGGGAAAUCGAAUAUGGCCUGCUCUUUCUCUGCACGCUGAGAAUUACCCAUGUUGCAGAUUGAUGGCUGGCGACCAGUCGAUAGUGCCAGCGCCAACACAACACACUGCCUGCUGAUGAACUUUUUGAACUUUUUUUUUUUUUUUUUUUGUGUUUCAUCCUCGUUAACUUAUUUUCUCAUCGGACUGGCUGGAGUUUUAUGUUUCAUAUGUGCAAACUAUCGCUGAUAGAAUUGCUGAGUUGGUGACUGCUGCUUUAUUUUUGUUUUGUUUCUUGCAAAAUUGUCAAUGGACGAUGCUAGUGACAGCUGCUUUACUACUGUCUGCCGUAUAGCAUAUCACAAGUGUCGUAAAAUGGCGUAACACUAAAAGACGGGUUGAUCUAAGUUAUUUAAACUGGGAAUGAUAGACGCCUAUAUAUAAAUAAUUUGUUUAGGAUAAUUGCUGAAUACUUUUGGAUGUUGAAACGAAUAAACUAAGAAGCUGUUGAAGCAUAUAAUAAUUAUUAUUAUUAAAGGUUGUAUAGGUGAUUUGCUUUUUUGGCCAUUUUUGCAAAAUUACUUGAAAUCCUUAUCAUAACCCGCUUACAGCCACUGAGUUAGAAGUACUGACAUGAAAAUUAAACAAGUCAAUCAUCUGUGGAACGGGCAGGGCUCGAAAAACUCCAGCC